rnacentral:lncRNA from 1 species
AGGUAUAGAUAGAGUGGGAUGAGGAAGACAUAACAGAAUGUUGGUUCUUCCAAUUGUAGCUACUUUGGUAUGAGUUUGAUCUUUGAUAGGGAACUGUAUAAUGAUGAAAAGUUAAAAAAGAAAGAAAAAAAAAUGUAGAUGCUUUUCUUUUCUUUUAUUUCUUUUUAUCUUCAUAAUUUUUAUUUAGUUCUUUCUUUCUUUUCCUUUACUUUCUAUCUCUUAGAAUUUUUUUUCAUGCCUUGGAAUAAUUAGUACACUACUCUUUUGGAAAAGAAAGGAAAAGGAUUGGAAAGGAGGAAUUGAUGGGAAGGAAGUAGGACCAAAUAAUUGUGUUAUUUUAUAUUUUAUUUUAUUUUAUUUUAUUUGAGAUCUU